UCGGGACUGCCUGGUGCGUCAGCCAAUCUAACCCCUGGGCCGAUAAGCACUUCCUAGGGAGCUGGCUCUGACGUGAUCGUGGUCAUGUUAUCUGGCGCCCACCUGCGUGAGCAGGUCCGGGAGGGUUUGAAGGCGGACGGCUAUGGUGGUUCCACC
rnacentral:other from 1 species